GAUGAAGAACGUAGCGAAAUGCGAUACUUGGUGUGAAUUGCAGAAUCCCGUGAACCAUCGAGUCUUUGAACGCAAGUUGCGCCCGAAGCCAUCAGGUUGAGGGCACGUCUGCCUGGGCGUCACAUAUCGUUGCUCGAUGCCUAUCGCAUUGCGAUAGGACUUAGGGCGAAUGAUGGCUUCCCGUGAGCGUUGUUGCCUCGCGGUUGGUUGAAAAUCGAGUCCUUGGUAGGGUGUGCCAUGAUAGAUGGUGGUUGAGUGACGAACGAGACCCAAUCAUGUGAGACCCCUACCGAAUUUGGCCUUCAUGACCCACAUGCGUCUUUGGAACGCUCAUGACGAGACCUUAGGUCAGGCGGGGCUACCCGCUGAGUUUAAGCAUAUCAAUAAGCGGAGGA
rnacentral:misc_RNA from 1 species